rnacentral:rRNA from 1 species
CAGCUCGUGUCGUGAGAUGUUGGGUUAAGUCCCGCAACGAGCGCAACCCUCGCCUCUAGUUGCCAGCAUUCGGUUGGGCACUCUAGAGGGACUGCCGGCGACAAGUCGGAGGAAGGUGGGGAUGACGUCAAAUCAUCAUGCCCCUUAUGACCUGGGCUACACACGUGCUACAAUGGGCGGUACAAAGGGCUGCGAACCCGCGAGGGGGAGCGAAUCCCAAAAAGCCGCUCUCAGUUCGGAUUGCAGGCUGCAACUCGCCUGCAUGAAGCCGGAAUCGCUAGUAAUCGCGGAUCAGCAUGCCGCGGUGAAUACGUUCCCGGGCCUU